rnacentral:rRNA from 1 species
UACGUAGGGUGCAAGCGUUGUCCGGAUUUAUUGGGCGUAAAGAGCUCGUAGGCGGCACAGUAGGUCAGAAGUUAAAACGCAGGGCUCAACCCUGCGUCGCUUUUGAAACCGCUGAGCUUGAGUAUGGCAGGGGAAGACGGAAUUCCACGUGUAGCGGUGAAAUGCGCAGAUAUGUGGAGGAACACCAAUGGCGAAGGCAGUCUUCUGGGCCAUUACUGACGCUGAGGAGCGAAAGCGUGGGGAGCGAACAGG